UACAUUUCAAGACAUGUAUGUCCAUCUAUUGGAAAAAAACGCAAUUACUUUUUGGCCAACCCAAUACAUUUAAAAUACAGUACAGAGUCUUUUUAAAUAUCGGCCUUUUGAUUAUUAUAAAACUAAGAUACUUUGAGACAUUUUCCAGUAACGGGAAACGUUUCAGAGCGUUCUCAGACUACGCAUCGUCCUGCAACCUGCAAGUUGGACGUUGACAUACGCGUUUAAUCAAUCACGCGACGUUUUGGAGAACGCCUUCUAGGGACGUUCUCCGUCUCACGAGGGGAGACAAAUGGCCGGCGCUUGGCUGCCGCAACCUACGUAUCCAAGCUGCAUCCGCAAAUGCAGAUGCAUCCGCCCCUUUGCCACGAGACACCCUAAUCUGAAUGAGAUGUAUCUAAGCUGCUUCCUUUCCGCGCCUCGCAGCACGUGUACUCAUCAAUUACCACGUGAGAACGUCAGAGAAGUACAUCGGCUGUUGCCGACACUUGCGUUUAGUUCUCGUAUUAUUUAUGAGACAAUCUUAGCAAAUGUAUCUUCCAGAAAUUCUACAGCAGUGAUUAUCACGCAUGAAACGGACUUCCAUAUAUUUUACGAUAUGUAACUAAUCUUUUCAACAAAAAUUAAUAAAAUUAAUAAUAAAACUUCUUAAAAGUUCGGUAUACGCAGAUUUAGAUAUUUUUCAGGAAAAUUGACGUAAAAUUUUAUUUGAUAAAAUUUACGAGUUCUGAUUGCGUAACACGAUUACAUACGUCUAAAUCAACACCGACACGUAACUAUUAUUUCCUGCAACUCUUAUUUUCUUUUGUCGGCGAUUGUUCCGUUUCAUCCCGAUCUAAUCACGGAACUGUGGUAGCUGGUAUCACCUUGACUCCGCGAGAGAGAGGACACGAAGCGAACGUGUUUUACGUGUAAUUGCUCGCGUGCGGAUACGCGUUUGCGAUAAUUAUGCGUGACACACUCUAACUGUUCCGUCAUCACGCUGACUUGUACGAGAAUCCUGAAGAUAUUCUUUGACCACGGCGCUGCCAAGAAUUCGGCGAGAAUAGGACGUCCGCGAGACUGCCAAACUGUCGUACCGCGUGAAGUGGCGUACGUCCGUACACGCGAUUUAUGCAGAAUAUAUGUAUUAUUUCGCGCAAUUACCUCGGGACAUAAAGUCAUCAAACCGCACGAAUGGCAGUGGAUUGGAGCCAUCGUGAAUGUAACGGUGUGCGAACGUGAUAUCGAUAUAAUUCAUGCAAUUUGAACUUCCGUUAAAAAUAUCUCUAGUGAUAAAUAAUCGAAAUGGCAAAUUCUAUAAUAUUGAAUUACUUAUUGAAAAUAGGUGUAAAAUUGCCCUUUCGUUCAUUUUUAAUUUGCAAGUUUUUUAAUUUGUCAUUCUUAACCAUGAAAAUUUAUGCAUUGCAUCACGCGAUAUACGACUUAUUUAGGACCGUUUACUGGAUAUCAUCAUUGCUAUCGUAAUCUACUAACACACGUUGUACGUGAUUGCAAUCGUAUGCAGAUACAUAACGUGAUGAUGAAGUACACCGGCUGUACACGAUGCUAUACAUUUACAGAGCCAGUUGAUCUUGCAGAAAUAAGCUUCGACCGUUCUGUUCGUCGUUUCUGUCGUCUUUAUCGAGUCGUGUGGGCCGUUGCAGUGUGGAAAGAAAGAUCGAUAUCAAGAUGCAGAAUUGCGGAUGUACCUAUGUCUACGAUAACGCGCUUUUUAAGAUGUAUAAAAUUCCGUACAAAAUACCGCUUCAAACGUGAAGGAAAUAACUGAACAACAUAUGUAACAGACGCAUUAAUAGUCGUCUUUAUCCUCGAUUAGCAUUAUAUUCGAUAUCGAACGAUUUGCUAGAUUGAAACACCGGAUCGCGCUCUACGAUGCAACGUGCGACGCGAGUAAGCACAACACGAUUUUCAUUACGAAAUGAAGAUUCGUUAGCAGCCAAGCGAUAAGGCGAAAACACGUAAUUCGAUACGUUGCACGUCACGAGAUGCUGCGCGACGUUAUCAUCGCACAUUACGUAUGCAGAGGCUUGCUUGACGAGCGGUUUGCGGUACCUAAUGGACUGGAUCCUCCUGAGACUGGAGUACUACCUACCACCCUUUAAUCGAGAUGCUAGCUAUCGACGAUAUCCACAGGGUCUUCUGGCCUGAGAUUCAUUAUAGGACUCCUGCGUCGACGAUGUCCACAGGACAUGCGCGGGGAGACCAAAGCGAGAGAGAGAAGAUUCUCCCGUCCGAUCGAGAACACCUUUUUUUCUAAUGGAAAAAGUUUACACGUUCGAGUAUUAGUCCGUAAUUGGAUUGAAUCGGUUCAUGAUCGAUGCGUCUUCCAUUAAUUGGAUCGUUGAAAUUAUUCAUUAGAAUGUAAAUAACACGUUGUUCAUUUUCAUGUGAGUCAAAAUUCUCUUGAUACGUAAAAUGGAGAACCGCAGGGACAGUUAAUUUUUGCGAGCGAUAGUUCAAGCGCGCGAUAAAAUAUGUGCUGUCGGAUUUGUUCGGUGAUACCAAAGCGCUGGUAACGUUUAUCCUAGAGGUAUAAAUUUUGAUGCGUUACACGACACGGUUCUCCAAAUAAACGAUUCACGUAUGUAUUUCAGGCAAUCCAUCUUUGAUACUAUACGCCUUAUAAGCAUCUACUACGAUGCUUAUAAGAGGAACGAGACCGCUCUGUACAGGUUUACGCGCCAUUAUUCAUAUCAACGUUUAUGUACAUUUAUGCACCCCCGUAUCUCGUCGUUCAACGUUUGCAGCAACACACCGUCACUCAUGUAGCCCGAGUAAUUCGAACGCGAGAGAGUGAUCGAUCGGCGCACACCUUCGUAAGUAUUAUCGUCGAUAAACGAUAAAUCAGGCCGAGGCUUCGACGCUACACGAUUAAGGACCUCCCGAAAAACCGUCGAGACAUGUAUGUGUGUCGAUGUGUGCGCGCGUUGCAUCCAGCCACGAUGCCAUCCGAUACCGACUGCUCCGCUUGUCGAUCCCUUGAAGGCAGUAGGACAUAGAGGAUAAUUAACAGGAAAAAGUUUCGGUCGCAACAUCCAGCAGAAACGGAUGACGUUUACAAGAUAGCGUGGUUCUCGCAAAGACGUAAAAAUUAUUGAACUGAAAAUGACGACCAAUUCAUUUCUUUCCUUCUCCCCUUCUUUCAAAAUUUGAUAUAGAAUUACGUUUCACGUUUCGAAAGACUGCCUAAUGUACGAAUUGUCGAUUUGCAUUUAUCCUUUUUUUCAGUUUAAUCAACUCCCACUCUAUUAAUUCUGCUUUCUUUACGGCUGUCCACUUUCUAAAUGGAGAUAAACGAAUCUCGCGAACCCUUACGUGUGCAGCCGUUGUGGACGGUGUGGACGUUUCACUACCAUCCUCGAACGCGAUACAAUACGGUACCAAAUGAUAAUCUGGCGAUAACAUACGGUAUAAGAAUGCCGCGGUAGAACACAUGAAUAUAGUCUGAUUAGAAUGAUAGUAUCAGUCGUGUGGGCGAACGCGUCGCGCGAGAGUGGAUUAUUCGAUCGUUUUUUACGUUUGUAAUCAAUUCGCGCAUGUCGCGUGUCAGACUACAUGCGGCAGGACGUUAAUCCAAGAUACUUUCAAUUGAGACGUGUCCGACUGUGUCCGCGAAAAGUGCGAGGCAUUUAACGUGCAACGGUUUGCAAAGCGACGUGACCUUUUUUGAUGGAACUGAAGAGACGUGUAAGAAGAAAGUGCAAUAUUUCUAGAUUAAGAGACACAAACAUUGAUCAUGCUUUCUUCUGUUCCUUCGAUGAAAUUACGCUUGUUUUACUUCUCGUGAUAUUUUAUAUUCCAGAAAUUUUUAUAAAUCCAUUAUUGUAAUUAAUUUUAUCGUAUAUUUGAUUUUAUAUCGCGAAUUAAUUAUUUCUGUUAAAUUUUCUAGUUUUAAUAGAAUAUUACGUUUAAGCUUGCAUAUCGUUUCAUAUUAUAAUAGAAUUUAUAUAGUCUCUCGACGCUUGUUCGACGUAGAAGUCUUUGAACUGUAGUGAACUGUGUUAGAACGCCUGUCUGUUCUAUAAUAAUAACCAACCGAAAUUUUGGACGGCCGCCAUCGCGAACGUAUAAAUCUUGCUAUGUUGAGGACAAUAGUUUAGCAACUCGCGAGUCUACGGCGAAUCUAUCAGCGUCAACGCCGACACUUCCGGACAUCUGAUUGUUCCUUUCAAUAAUCAUUCAAUAAUGUUACCUGAUCUCUAAUCGUAAACGUCACAAGUUAUUUUGCAUACAAUAACUCUGUCGCUUAUGUCGAAUAGUCAGAGAGCAAAACUUUAUUCUUUCGCAACGACCAUAAUGACAGACACAGAGAAGAAAAUAAAUUUAUGAUUGUCACAGAAACGUAACGAUGCCUCUCAACGAAAGUAAAUAUAUUUAAGCUAAAACUAUUUGCAAUUGGAAAACAUUUCUCACCACUCCAUUAUAUUUUUUAAUUUUUAAAUACAUAUCAAGAUUUUAUAUUGACUAUAUUAAAUCUAUAUCUUUAUCUUCUGGAUAACUUUCCAGCAUUAUAAUCUACAAUUUUACGCAAUAUUGCGAGAGUAUUUGUGAUAAUUGCGAGAGGUGCGCAUCAGAAAAACUCAACGAACGGAAGAGCUUAUUAAUUUCUCUCAUUACUCCACGCGCGAUGGCCACUCGACCCUCCCCAACGUCGUCUUCCUGAUAAAACAUGCACAAAUGAAAAAUGCUAUUGUCUCCUCACGUGGCGGACUACCCUCCUCACGAUGCAAUCGAUACCUACCGCAUUGACGACGAGACACACGAAGCGUCUCAUCGAAGAGAGGCAUGUUGAAUCGCACACUUUGGCACGACCCAUGUCUCAUCGGCCAUCAUCACGGCGAUGAGUUAAUGCUAAUGAGCGGGCACGGCGAUUCGUCUAAAUUAAUUAGCGCCUCCUAAAGCACCGUGAAAUUAGCGUUAGCGCGUGGGACGUGGCGCGUCGGGAUACCCAUUACUCGGCUAAUGGGCCGAUAACGGUGUGGGUGUGCGGUGGGUCUACGGGUGCGGGUAUCCCAUAUGGUUGGUCUUCCCAUAUGCACACACGCAUCGACGUAUCGACGACGCAUCGCACGCGGUUCAAGUAUAUCGUGCGGUUUAUAUCGUAUAAGUGGACGUGUACGAAGGUGGAGCCGGUGCACGUCGCGUGUUACCGCGCUAUGCAUCAACGAAACAAUGCCGGUGUAAUUGAAUAUUUUCAGGGGAUGAUGAUUUAAGAAUCGCCGCCGGGGCACCGACGGGAACCGCGUUCGGGCCCUUCCCAUUUUCAACUUACACGUGUAUACGAUGGUUACCAAGUGCGGCGAGUAUAAUAAAUAACGAUUUUGGCGAUCGUCGACUCUUGGACGGGGCCCCCGUACCAGGGGGCCUUCGCCAAUGGAAAGGGGCCAGUUAGGAUAACUAUCGAUUCUGAAGAAAACAAGCUCUAUUGCGAUCGCGUUUCGUAAGAGAGCGGAUAAUCUGUCGGCUCGUUUCGAGCACGGACGGUUCUGUUCAAAGACCUGGUUCAAAGGUUGAGAACGACGUGAGCGAAACACGACUAGAAGAAAAGCACCGAAUCGGUUAAUGACAGAGCGCCGCGCGAUAAUUUCAGGGUAACGCAUAUUUCGCACGUAACACGCAAACCCACUGACGCUCCCGGGGAUGACGGUAAUAUUUUUUUGCGAUACAAGAAAACUACUGAACGUCUCUCCGUGCAUGUAUUUCGAAUUCUUCUAAACUCAAUUUUUGCCUCUUGCGUUCCGAUCCAGCAGAAUCUUAAUUUAUAUAUUAUCGAGAUAUUUAAUCGCUAAAGAUCGGCAAGUUGAAAAUUAUCAUUGAUAUCAAAACAGUGUUAGGACUUUCGUCAGAAGUAUAAAAAAGGUCUUUAUGACAAAAGUUUUCCCAAAAAAAUGUUCCACCGUUAGUUAGUUACAAAUCAUCUUGCACCUUGAUAACUUGACUGACGUAGCAAUGUUUCCGUCAACCUGGAGCAACAAGACUAUUACUAAGAGCAACAACCCCAAAUUCCCGCGUCUCUCUCCAGGACAAGGAACAGGUUUAUUUUCCCCUAAGAAAUCGACGGUGUACCUGAUAUCUACCUCGCAGACUCCAACCAGACUCGUAUAGAGCGUGUACGCGAGAUACGGAUCUGACUGCGCCGAAUGCACAGACCAGUGCAGUACGCAAUAUCCUAUCCCUUCUUUUUCGAGAGGAGAGAUCCUCUUUCGUGCGAUCACAAAUCACGUAACCCACCUCCUCCUCAUAGCCUCGCGCGAACCGGCAAUCGUUAUCGCGUUCGCACGAGGUCCGACCGCACCGUUCAUCCUCUCAAUGUUCCUCUAUGUCGGAUGGACGCGCGGCUCUUCCUCUGGUCCUCUGGAGAGACGAGAGAUCAAGGCGAUUCGCCAUCGACGUGAAGUCAUAACAUGAUUCCGGAAAGAAGGAGGAUAGUUACGACAAGUACGUGCGUGAUAAGAAUAAUUCCAACACGAAGGGCUCACGGAUCUAAAUCACAUAGCUGAGUACGACGUAUAAUAAUUCAUCUGUUCUUCUCGAUUCAAUUUACAUGAGGAAAAUGAAACAUUGGGAUGAAACGUAAGAGAGAAAACUCAGUUGGACAUCUAUGCCGCUUAACCUAUAGCACUCGCGUGAAGGAAGGGAGAGCUCGCCGACCUUCAUCGAAUAUCCAAUAAAGUAGACCACUACAAGGCUCUCAAGCGGACAUUGAGACGGUCAGGGCCGAUAAUAACCACUACCCUCCGCUGCGACUCGAGAGGAUCGAUUUUAUCGUGGUCGCCGGAGUCAAGUCCACGAACAACCCUUCGAAAUGUUUUUGUGGACCGAUUAACCCGAGAGAAAGAGAGAACGGAACCCCUUUCUCGCAUUAGAAUUCUCGCCCGGACCACCCAGCUUACGUUUACGCGGCUAUCAAUCUGAUUCGUCGGUUAUUUCGAUCAGUACGGAGCAAUAAACUGCAACGACUCGUUCCCAACGUCGUUGGACGUCGGCUUUCCCCGAAUCCUCGUGACUGAUACACGGGAGAUACACGCGGGAAUCAACGCACUCAUGUCAAAAAGCGAACGAGCAAACGUCUUAUCAGAUUUCGAAGAGCGCCAUAAGUCGCACAGCUCGAAUUCUUUCUCUCCGAAACAAUCUUCGCUUUGGUAUGGAACUAUCAAAAGGAGAGAUCCUCGUUCGAGUGACGUGCUUCGCUUUUUGUGAAGUAUUGCAAGGUGAUAUUUAUUACUAUUGUAUUGUACCAACAAGAAAAAUUGAUAAUUCGUGCGAUUUUAUUUUUUCGUGAACGUGUCUUCGAGGCAAUAAUGGCAAACAGCGAAAAUUCCUGUGUUAUUAUUAAAUUUUAAGUACUGUUAAUAUAAUAAAAUUGUUUUAUUAAUCGAUUAAGGAAUUUAUUUAAAAAUUUUUAAUAAAUUAUAUCUCUAUUAUUUUUUAUUUAUAUUGAUCGUAAUAUUACGUUUUUAUCACAAGAGAGCUUAUAUAAAUUCUGUUGUUACAAUUUAAUAAAGUUGCUCUAGAUGUUUUAUAGAUACAAAAGAACAGAAAAAUUUAUACUGAUCGAAGUAUUUUCAACUGAAAGAAUAGCUAAACAAAAAUAUAUUAUGUACCCCUGGUGGGACUCGAACCCACAAUCCCCGGUUUAGGAGACCGAUGCCUUAUCCAUUAGGCCACAGGGGCGCUUGUUUUCAAGUUCCCAUGAUACAGAACUCAACGCGAUGACCACUUGGUAUUCAAGGUAGUAAAAUAAUUCUCUGUAGAUAAAAUUCUGUUCAUAUCUAAUAACCAUUAAUUGCAAAAUUAAUUGCUCGACUUUAUUAUUGAAAUGUUUGCAUCAUCAUGCAUUAUUUCUUAUUACGGCAAUUAUCUAAAUCAUCCCUUUCUUAGCGUUGAUGUUUCGACAAUACAAUAAAAUGUUUGAAGAUUCGUCUUUUUGUUAAAGAAUUAAAGCGAUAUAAAGCGAGCAACAUUUGAACUAUAAAAUUCAAGAAAAAAUCUAUUCGCCGCAUAUAUAAUAACAAUAAACGUUAAUAGAUAUCUGCGAAAGAUAUUAUAACGCAUACAUGGAAAACGAGCGUAUAAUAAUUUGAGUUCUUAUAGGAUUUGUCGUUACCAAGAAGAAAUUAAAGUCAAGCGGAUUUUAACAGUAACGGCAACAAUUAUCCUACUUGUUCCAGUAUUUAUAUUUCAAUAACAAGACCAUUUGUAGACUCGUAUAUUUUCACAAAUCGCAAGUUGUAACCCUGAAAACCGGGAAUCUAGAAAGCGGAAUCCAGAGUUGUGUAUUCAAAUAUUCAUAUGGAAAUAUACGUGGACGAAACUGCCGCUUCAGGAGCAAAGCUGCUAUCUGAUUUCAAUUUUCUCCGGUAAUCUCAGCGGCACACUGUCAUUGCCAUAAAUACGAUGAUCCGUAAUCAUCGUCCGCGUUCGUUGCAUUAUGCACAAGCAGUGUACAUGUGUAUAUAUGUAUGUGACAACCAGACAAGUGUCGAUAUUCACGUGUUUGACAGUUAUAUGCGUAAUCUGAACUUUCGGAACCUUAGCCAAAAUUCGGUAUGCACAAUUAUUGCAUCUAAGUAAACCGAUAGUCUUCUAAAAAUAAAAAUCUAAGUUUCAGAUUUUGGAAAUCAAUUGUUUUCUAUAGUUGAAGACCCAGAGCGUGACGAAGAUUAAUAUGUUUCAUAAUUUAAGAUAAUAUAGUUUAAGAUGAGCAGUUUAAGAUAAUAUAUGAAACACUAAAGAUUAAUAGAGUUGAUAGUACAAUACAAUAACUGUCGUUCUUCAUCAUUGAAGAAUUCAAAUAAAAAAUCGAAGUAUAGAAUAUGUUUACAGACAUAAAAAUGCCGUUUCUCUUUAAACUACUUGAAAAAUAUAAUUUUUCAGCGUCCACAAAGUACCUUUUGAUGUGACGCUAAGGCGCCAAGAUACGUUCCUGCGAUAAUCUUGAUUUUACGCGCAUCACAUGAGAAUGCACUCGUUCGUAUGGGAGUAUGAGUGUACACGCAUUUAUAAUACUUCACGCACGAUCGCCGAUUUACUAACCCGAAUUACCGGCGACGCCCAAAUAUUAACACUUCAAGCAACUCGUUAUUCAAAUUGGGCUUUACGAAUUUGUAUCGCUGCCUCCGAUUACACGUGUUGGUAUGAUAACGAUGAGUGGCGAGAGCAAACAGCUUAUUACAAACUGGUCCCGACAUGACAGUGGACUCUCACGCAUAAAGGAUACCGUUCAACGUAAAAAUGUAAUUCAUCUCGUACGUAAGUUUUGAUAAAUAAUCCAUAUAUGCAAGACUUAUGGUAUCAAUUAAAUUGAUAUCUCUAACUUUCAUGAAAAUAGAGUUUCAAAUAGAAAUGAUUGUUUUCUCGUGCGAUUUAUUUAUUAAAACUUUUGGAGAGUUUACCGUUGUUUAAUCAUCAUUAUUAGGUAAUAUAUAAAUUUUGUAAAAUAUUUCUUAUUUAUUGCAUGUGUUAAAUACUUGCACAUACGAUUCUUUCAUUAUAAUAGAUAAAUUGAAUCAAUCAAAUCUUUUAAUCACGCCUCAUUAAUUCACGAUUGUUUCCUACAGUUUCUCGUGUCACUCUAUAUCGCAAGAGCUUCGAUAAUUUCUUGAUGGUCCCGAUUUGCACCCGUACGGAUGUCGCUCUUGUAAGACCAUAUAGGUAUAAUCUCAUAAGAUCGCCUUACUUUAUCUCGCGUAUCGUCUGCCUGCCGUGCAGAAGCGAUGAAAAAGCGCUUCAAGGUCUACCGCAUUUUCUUCUCUCGCGCGCUGACGCCUCUGUUUAACACCAUAUCCACAAAAAUCGACAGCCGGCGCCCCGGUUCUGAGGUACGAGCCUCAGCGGAGAUGCCUAUCGACCGUUGCUCCUCGCUAUUGAUUUCAGCCGAGAACGAGGCGAAACAACUUCGAGGAAUUUGUUCCUGCGCGUCGCAUCGCGUGCUUUAUUGAAAGCAGCUGGAAGAAACGGACGAAAAUCUGGAGUCUACGAGAGCGAGGAAGUGAAAGGAGCGAAAUUCGCAACGGCCGUUUACGGACCUUAGAUAAAGCGAGCCUUAAUCAUCGUGAAUACUAGCUGGACAUCGACUCAUCCUUCCGGCGAAAGGGAAGAAGGGCAACUUGCGAGGAGAGAGGAACACGAGGGAAGUGAGACAGCGUAGCAGAGAAAAGGAGAGACAGAAACCUCCAAGAGAACGAAAA
rnacentral:lncRNA from 1 species